rnacentral:lncRNA from 1 species
GCGGAAUGAGAAAUGGGAGACAUCCCCACAUCCCUCAUAUUAUUAUUAGAUGCAAGGUCAUAGUCAUUCUUUUAGUGUACCUCCCAUUUUAUUACCUUUGUCUUUUGCCUCCAUUCCAUCCCCAUCCACUAAAUGCUCUUUGCCUUCUCUUCUCUCCUCUCCUCUCCAUUACCCUUUUUCUCACUCAACUUUGCAGUUCCCUUUCUCCUUCUCCAAUUAGGGUUUUCCUCUUUGUAGCGAUAAAUCUGUGAGGUUAGGUAUAUCAUCACUUCACUGCCCAAGGCUGCCUUAUCUUGGUAGGAGCAAACAACUUCCUCCUCAAACACAGCUAGCUCAUUCCUAUAAGGGGAAAAGGUACUUCCCUUUUUAUUCUUCUCAUCAAUAAACACAGAUCCAAAACAGGAUAUUAUAUAUGUGUAGCUGCUUUCUUCUUUUCUUUGCCAUUAACAUAUCUUUUCUUUUUUUUUUCUUUGUUGGCAAGCUAAGCUAAGCUAAGUUAAAGGCUCUAGUUUAGGGCUUUCUUAUGUUCGAAUACCUUAAAUAUACCUAUGAAAAGAUAAACUUGUCUUGGUGAUUUUGCACUUCUCAGAUCAGAUCCCAUCUUCAUUCGAUUGCAGAAAGGAUCCUAUGACUUUACAGCUGCUCAUACAACUAAAUUUGCACCGCAAGUUAAUUAAGGAAUAAAUUAUUUUAUAUAUAUAAAAAAGAGACAAACUUCGGAACCAAAAUUGAUGGUGUGGCAGGCACAAAUCCUUGUGUGAAUCAUGAAGGUCCAGUUCAAGAAUUGAACUUCUUUUCUUUCUCUCUAAACGUACAAGAUAUUAGUAACUAAAGAAGGAAAAGAAAGAAAGAAAUUAAGAAAAAAGAAGGCAGCUAUAUAUGCAUAAAAUAAAUCAGUGCCCAGAUUUAAGAAGUUGUGUUUAAUUGUCUAUGCAAGGAUGUAUGUUCCAAAAGUUCUCCCUGUUGUUUGUCUCUGAGAGUGUCAGAAAGGUGGCCAUCAAAUUUUUUUUCCUCUUUAACUUCGAAACUUUUGGACUUAUUUCCUUUGGUAAAGCAGCUGCUUAGAUUGCUAGAUACUGAUCAUAUAGAAGAUACGUUCAGGAAAACCCUAGUAAAUAUAAAUCAUAGAUUCUUCAAGAGUGAACCCCUACCCAAGUUAAUUAUGAAAUGAAAAGGGAAGGAAAAACUGAAAAAUAUGCAGAAGAGGUUAAAUGGGAAUAUAGUUUUCGAAAACNNN